rnacentral:misc_RNA from 1 species
GAUGAAGAACGUAGCGAAAUGCGAUACGUAAUGUGAAUUGCAGAAUUCAGUGAAUCAUCGAAUCUUUGAACGCAUAUUGCGCUCUCUGGUAUUCCGGAGAGCAUGCUUGUUUGAGUAUCAGUAAACACCUCAACUUCCAUAUCUUUUUUGAAAUGGGAGUUGGACUUGAGUGAUCCCAACGCUUUUCCUCACCGAAAAGUGGCGGGUUACUUGAAAUGCAGGUGCAGCUGGACUUUUCUCUGAGCUAUAAGCAUAUCUAUUUAGUCUGCCUAAAAAACAGAUUAUUACCUUUGCUGCAGCUAACAUAAAGGAGAUUAGUUCUUGUGCUGACUGAUGCAGGAUUCACAAAGACAGGCUUCGGCCGACUUUGUAAACUCGAUCUCAAAUCAAGUAAGACUACCCGCUGAACUUAAGCAUAUCAUAAGCGGAGGA